UGAUGAUCAAACUGUUUAACCUUUCCCUAGGACACAGCUAAAAUAUGUUUCCCAGCCUCCCCAACAGGUGUGACUGUGUAUAAUUGAGUUCUAACCACAGGAAGGUGAGCAGAAGUGAGGUGUAACCAUUUCCAGAUCUGGCUCAUAAGGGUCUCCCAUGUUCUCACUGUCCUCUAUGCUCUUUCUCUAUGCACAGCUUGAUGCAGAUGAGCAGGUAACCAUGGAAGUCGUGAGCUGAGGCUGCAGAGUCUAGAGCCAGAGUGUGGAAUAAACUUGGGUCUCAAAUCACCCCUGGAGCAAAGCCCCCAUCUAAUCAGGAACUUCUACUUUCAACUUUACAUGCGUGAGAAAUGAACUUCUAUCAUGUUAGAGAAAUCCUUACACGGCGCCCUUGAGAGCUUUCAUACUGCAAGUCAUCCAUUUUCCUCCCCUCAAACCUGGCAUCGGUGUUUAUUGAAACAAAGCAAAAUAAAACAAAUAGACAAAGCUCUACCU
rnacentral:lncRNA from 1 species